AUUGAACGCUGGCGGCAGGCCUAACACAUGCAAGUCGAGCGAGCGGCGGACGGGUGAGUAAUGUAUGGGGACUGCCCGAUAGAGGGGGAUAACUACUGGAAACGGUGGCUAAUACCGCAUACUAUCGGAUAACCCAUAUGGGAUUAGCUAGUAGGUGGGGUAAAGGCUUACCUAGGCGACGAUCCCUAGCUGGUCUGAGAGGAUGAUCAGCCACACUGGAACUGAGACACGGCCCAGACUCCUACGGAGGCAGCAGUGGGGAAUAUUCCACAAUGGGCGAAAGCCUGAUGCAGCCACGCCGCGUGUAUGAUGAAGGCCUUAGGGUUGUAAAGCACUGUUAGCAGGGAGGCGUUACCCGCAGAAAAAGCCCCGGCUAACUCCGUGCCAGCAGCCGCGGUAAUUC
rnacentral:rRNA from 1 species